NNGACAGUUGGGGGCAUUCGUAUUUCGUUGUCAGAGGUGAAAUUCUUGGAUUUACGAAAGACGAACUACUGCGAAAGCAUUUGCCANAGAAUGUUUUCAUU
rnacentral:rRNA from 1 species